rnacentral:rRNA from 1 species
GUUUUGUAUGUACCUUAUGAAUAAGGAUCGGCUAACUCCGUGCCAGCAGCCGCGGUAAUACGGAGGAUCCGAGCGUUAUCCGGAUUUAUUGGGUUUAAAGGGUGCGUAGGCGGCCUUUUAAGUCAGCGGUGAAAGUCUGUGGCUCAACCAUAGAAUUGCCGUUGAAACUGGGGGGCUUGAGUAUGUUUGAGGCAGGCGGAAUGCGUGGUGUAGCGGUGAAAUGCUUAGAUAUCACGCAGAACCCCGAUUGCGAAGGCAGCCUGCCAAGCCAUGACUGACGCUGAUGCACGAAAGCGUGGGGAUCAAACAGGAUUAGAUACCCUGGUAGUCCACGCAGUAAACGAUGAUCACUAGCUGUUUGCGAUACAGUGUAAGCGGCACAGCGAAAGCGUUAAGUGAUCCACCUGGGGAGUACGCCGGCAACGGUGAAACUCAAAGGAAUUGACGGGGGCCCGCACAAGCGGAGGAACAUGUGGUUUAAUUCGAUGAUACGCGAGGAACCUUACCCGGGUUUGAACGCAUUCGGACCGAGGUGGAAACACCUUUUCUAGCAAUAGCCGUUUGCGAGGUGCUGCAUGGUUGUCGUCAGCUCGUGCCGUGAGGUGUCGGCUUAAGUGCCAUAACGAGCGCAACCCUUGCCACUAGUUACUAACAGGUAAAGCUGAGGACUCUGGUGGGACUGC